AAUGAACGCUGGCGGCGUGCCUAACACAUGCAAGUCGGAUGUGCCCGCAAGGGUGCAUGGCAGACGGGUGAGUAACGCGUAGGGAACCUACCUCUUUAUGGGGAAUAACGUUCCGAAAGGAAUGGUAAUACCGCAUGAGACCAUGGGCUGGAAUGCCGAUGGUGAAAGCCGGGGAUCGAAAGACCGUGCGCAAGGAGAGGGUCCUGCGUCUGAUUAGCUAGUUGGUGGGGUAACGGCCUACCAAGGCGACGAUCAGUAGCCGGCCUGAGAGGGUGAUCGGCCACACUGGAACUGAGACACGGUCCAGACUCCUACGGGAGGCAGCAGUGGGGAAUUUUGCGCAAUGGACGAAAGUCUGACGCAGCAACGCCGCGUGGGUGAUGAAGGUCUUCGGAUUGUAAAACCCUGUCGUCAGGGACGAAGGUAGGGAACCUAAUACGUUUUCUGCUUGACGGUACCUGGAGAGGAAGCCCCGGCUAACUCUGUGCCAGCAGCCGCCGUAAUAC
rnacentral:rRNA from 1 species